rnacentral:tRNA from 1 species
GGUGAGGUGGCUGAGCGGUUGAGGCGAUGGACUACUAAUCCAUUGGGCUCUACCCGCGUGGGUUCGAGUCCCACCCUCGUCG